AAUUUUAAUUUCCUUUUGAUAGUGGCUUUUAAGAUUGGUUUUAGUUGAUAGUAACUUCUAAAUAUUUAGAAUCACCUUUGUUAGACAUUGGUGACCUUUGAAAACUUCUUUUGGUUCUUCUAUUUGGUGUUUAGAGCAUAAAUUAUGUAAAUCUUAUAAGAAAAAGGAUUGAAGAAGGAUUUUGGUAGCAAAGGAAGUAAUUAGGGCACCAAUAUAGAUGAAUGGAGAUGAAUAAUGAAAAUCUCCAUUCCUAUUCAUCAAAAAUCAUGAUCAAUGGGCUUUGAGGAGUCUGCCCGAGGCCAUAUUAGGGAUUAGGGUUAGUAUCUCGAGACCAUUCGAACUUUGGAGGUUGAGGUCAGAAGGUUUAGGGUUUUUGAUAUGGUUUUGGUGCAAAAUUUAUGUCAUUUGGGGUUUUUAUGAAGAAGUUAUAGGCGCUCAAAGUUAAGGUAUUAGUUUUUGGACCUACUGUCACUCUUUGGGGCAUUGCGCACGCAUACAGACAGAAAACGAGGAUCGGCGACUGGAGUUGGAGAGAACACUUUUUCGGCUACAAUUUAUGCCUAUUGUUAGUCAAAUUCCAAGCUUUGAUGAAGGAGAUAUUGGCAGUUGAAGUCAGCGCUUGGAAUCUAAGGGUAGUAAGUAGCCCGAUUUACUUGUACUUGUGAUUUGAGCUAUAUCUUAGACAAUUUGAUGAGGUUUUGACUCAAAAUUUCCAA
rnacentral:lncRNA from 1 species